UACGGAGGGGGCUAGCGUUGUUCGGAAUUACUGGGCGUAAAGCGCGCGUAGGCGGCUUUGUAAGUCAGAGGUGAAAGCCCGGAGCUCAACUUCGGAAUAGCCUUUGAGACUGCAUCGCUUGAAUCCGGGAGAGGUGAGUGGAAUUCCGAGUGUAGAGGUGAAAUUCGUAGAUAUUCGGAAGAACACCAGUGGCGAAGGCGACUCACUGGACAUGUAUUGACGCUGAGGUGCGAAAGCGUGGGGAGCAAACAGG
rnacentral:rRNA from 1 species